ensembl:lncRNA
AGGGGUGAUGGUAGAGGAGGGGUGAUGGUGGAGGAGGGGUGAUGGUGGAGGAGGGGUGAUGGUAGAGGAGGGGUGAUGGUAGAGGAGGGGUGAUGGUAGAGGAGGGGUGAUGGUAGAGGAGGGGUGAUGGUAGAGGAGGGGUGAUGGUAGAGGAGGGGUGAUGGUAGAGGAGGGGUGAUGGUGGAGGAGGGGUGAUGGUAGAGGAGGGGUGAUGGUAGAGGAGGGGUGAUGGUAGAGGAGGGGUGAUGGUAGAGGAGGGGUGAUGGUAGAGGUAGGGGUAGGGGUGAUGGUAGAGGAGGGGGUGAUGGUAGAGGUAGGGGUGAUGGUAGAGGAGGGGUGAUGGUAGAGGAGGGG